UCAUGUGAACCUUACCUACUAAUAAUAACUACCACUAAUAUCUUUGUGUUGGAUGUAGUUAAGAUAGCAAUAUGGGGUAUUGUAUCUGCACUACCCAGCCUCAUCUGGUAACUAUGGCUGGCACCAUUUAUUCUCCGAUUUACAAAUCUUUAUUUUUGUGUAAUAGAUAUAUAAUUCAACUAAAAACGUGCUGCAAAUCAUAAUUUCUGAAUCAAUAUUUACUAUAUGGACAGGUAGUGAAUUUAAAAGCCAACUCUGGGGCUUCAAUUGUCUGGAGGUUGGUUUAGUGCAUUUAAAGCCAAACUACAAAAGAAGCAAUUGACAUAAAUAUCAGUGAGCCUUAGCAGCUAUCCCAACAGCAUUUACCUCCCAAGCAGCUCUAACUUUAAUGCCCAAUUUUAGGGUUAGGUUAUUUAACUCAACUCCACCUAUCGUGGAGAUACGUGUCUUGGACAUUGGGCGGAAAUAAACAAAAUCAUAAGCAGAGGAGAGGCGCAAGGCGUAAUUGGAGUAGGGCAUGUUGUGAGAGAGAAGAGAUUCAUGAGCUCAACUUUACACAUCUCUGAAAAGCAAGGAACUGGGU